rnacentral:rRNA from 1 species
UAAAAUAAUGUUAUUGAUUAUGAUUUUCUCGAAUUCAGAAGAUCUAAUUAUUUAUUAAUUUUAUUGUUGAAUAAAUAUUUAUACUAAGUGGUUAGUAAUGAAACGUUAUUCGUUUCUGAAUAUAUCUAGUUUUUUAAGAAACGAGUUGAAUUCGAUUGGUUUAUAUUAAUUUUCUUUAUAGUUAGGUAUUUAAUUGAACUAGUAAAUGUUUGGGGGGAAAAGCUUCUAGGCAAAGUUUUAUAAUUAGUAAGUGUUUGUCAGGGUUAAUAGGAUUAGAAGUUUUCAGUUUUAUCAGGAUGUUAUAGUUGACGCGGGAUUUAAUAUAUUAUUUAUAUUUAAUUUAAAUUUUUUAUUAAAAUGUAUUUUUAAAUAGAAGUUAAAUAGAAAUUAUGAUUAAAUUAGUAUAAUUUUAUUGUAUAUCAAUAUUUUUUAAAUUUAAGGUUAAGCUAAGGAAUUCCGCCAAAGACUUUUCACCUGUUUAUUAAAAACAUGGCCUUUUGAUAAUAAUUUAAGGUCUAGCCUGCCCACUGAGUAUUUAAAGGGCCGCGGUAACCU